UCCAGUUCUCCCACUUCCGCAUAAACCCCAUGGCUUCCACCGCAGUUCCCGAAGUAGUUCGCUGGUACUGCUGGAUCCAGUCGAGCUCGCCAAUCGGCGUAGAAACCCAGGUACACUCUCUUCUUCUUCUGUUCUGUUCUCGCUGAUUUUACUGCACAAAUCGAUAUGUACGCGAAUGCGAGAACGAACGAUGAGUAUCGGGUCGGUUUCGAGGGUUUUGAUUCAUCUUCUUUUGUUGUUGCUUUCCUGAGAUUUUCGAUGUCUGUACGUGUGAAUUUGAAUGUGCCUCUUACCAUUUCUGGGGAAACACCCAAAUUUGGGAAAUAUUUCAGGCUUUUGAUUGAUGGGUCAGUGGGGUUGGUCUUUUUUAGCCAGUAGUUGAUGUAGAGCAUGUCGAUUCCUUUCGGGUCUUUGAUAAUAGACCGAUCGAAAAAUGGGGUUAGAUCAGGCGGAAGAGCAAUGGAGAAUUCGGGUUUGUUUGGUGUCUGCUUGAAAAUGUAAGCCCACGAUUUCAAAAACAUAAUCGAGCUUUUCCCAUCAACAAAAGCAUGGUGAUUGGAUAUGCCAAUGGAUAAUCCCCUGUUUUGGAACAGAGUGAUUUGCAGAGCCAUAACCGGAACAGAAUCAUCCGCUGCCGGCAAUUCCGGGACAA
rnacentral:lncRNA from 1 species